AUCACCUGGGAAUCUUGUUAAAAUGUAGAUUCUGAUUCAGUAGAUCUAACGUGGGGCCCGAGAUUCAACAUUUCUAACAAGUUUCCAGAAGAUGCUUG
rnacentral:pre_miRNA from 1 species